CAACAAGGUCGAGAGCGACUGCCACUAUAAAAGACUGAACACGGCUGACAAAUGCAACAGUGACAUCCCAGCCUUCCUCCUCCAAGUCAACAGCAUUUGCUUUUGGAUACAACCAUGAGUGCUAAGAUCGUUGUGGCAAUGGUGUUCCUGGUGAGCAAGGUGUUGGCCUCUCCCUCUGACACCUACGGCCCUCCCGUGCAUCAACCAGCAUACCAGGAGCCAAUCCCGUACAACUUCACAACCUUUUGAGUGAACGACGAGUAAGAAUAGACGCGGGGACAGACUUCAGCCAAACAGAGGAGUCUGACGGCAACACUGUCAAGGGAUCCUACACUGUCCUGCUUCCUGACGGCCGCAAGCAGACGGUGACCUACGUGGCUGACCCUUACAACGGCUACCAGGCUGAGGUCAGCUACUAUGGCGAGGCACAGUACCCAAGGGAGUACGGCCCCCCCGUUACCUUCAGGCCCCAGGCAGCAUAUCAGCCCCAGCAGUACAUACCAGCAGCCCUCAUACCAGUAGCCGGUAUACAGCCAGCACAGUAUUUAUAAAGCAUGUCAUCAAGUACUUGAUUUCAAAUAGUUAAGUUAUAUUCAAAGAACAAAUAAAUCAGAGAUCUCUG